GCAAUCGCUCCUGCGAAGCCCUGGAGUUGGCCAGAAGUGGCUGCAAGCCCAAAACCAAAGGUAGUGGAGAAGAAGGGGCAAAGCCUGAAUUCCCUCCCUGGCAGGAGGCAGCACUUGCACAAGCUUCGGAUGCUGGACUUGACCCGCAAGCGACGAGAGGCGGAGCUGAAGAGGAAUCUCCACAGGGAGGCGAAAAUCAAUAAGCAAAACAUGAAGGAAUUGAGCCCCAAGGAUGUCCUUGGCACUCCCCAGAGAGGUGACAGCACCAGCAGCCCGGACCCCAUCCCUGCUGGGCACAAUCAGCGCUUUCCUGAAGACGACCCUGGACUCUGCAGGGCUGAGCCCUCUCCAGACAGGAGGGGGAAGGUUGACCUGUGGUUCUGCAGGGAGCCACGGACCAGGGAUCUGUUCUGGGACUCCUCCAGCACAGACUCAGAGGAGUGGGAAGAGAGGAUUCACCGCAAACCCACGCUCGUGAGGACCAAGACAGAGAGAAUUUCCCUCUUUGAUGACUUCUUUGACAGGGAUUUCUAGUGGCAUGUGCCAAAGAAAUGAGCCCCAGC
rnacentral:lncRNA from 1 species